CUGGCGGCGUGCUUAACACAUGCAAGUCGAACGCGAAAGGGACUUCGGUCCUGAGUAAAGUGGCGCACGGGUGAGUAACGCGUAGAUAACCUGUCUUCAUGUCUGGAAUAAUACGCCGAAAGGGGUACUAAUACCGGAUAUUCUUGCUUUUCAUAAGUUAUGCAAGCAAAGGUGGCCUCUGCAUAUGCUACUGCAUGAAGAGGGGUCUGCGUACCAUUAGCUAGUAGGUGGGGUAAUGGCCUACCUAGGCGACGAUGGUUAGCGGGUCUGAGAGGAUGAUCCGCCACACUGGCACUGGAACACGGGCCAGACUCCUACGGGAGGCAGCAGUGAGGAAUAUUGCGCAAUGGGGGAAACCCUGACGCAGCGACGCCGCGUGAGUGAGGAAAGGCCUUCGGGUCGUAAAGCUCUGUCAAGAGGAAAGAAGUGUACAAUGGCUAAUACCUGUUGUAUUUGACGGUACCUCUAAAGGAAGCACCGGCUAACUCCGUGCCAGCAGCUGC
rnacentral:rRNA from 1 species